rnacentral:rRNA from 1 species
UACGAAGGGGACUAGCGCUGCACGGAAUGACUGGGAGUAAAGGGCGCGCAGGCGGCUUACAUAGUUAGGCGUGAAAUUCCUGGGCUCAACCUGGGGACUGCGUCUAAUCCAUGUAGGCUUGAGUGUGAAAGAGGGUCGUGGAAUUUCCAGUGUAGAGGUGAAAUUCGUAGCUAUUGGAAAGAACACCGGUGGCGAAGGCGGCGACCUGGUUCAUUACUGACGCUGAGGCGCGAAAGCGUGGGGAGCAAACAGG